rnacentral:rRNA from 1 species
GCCACCGUAAGGUGAGAGGAAGGUGGGAUGACGUCAAAUCAGCACGGCCUUAUGUCCAGGCUACACACGUGUUACAAUGGCCGGUACAAAGGGCAGCUACUUCGCGAGAAGAUGCUAAUCUCGAAAGCCGGUCUCAGUUCGGAUCGAAGUCUGCAACCCGACUUCGUGAAGCUGGAUUCGCUAGUAAUCGCGCAUCAGCCAUGGCGCGGUGAAUACGUUCCCGGGCCUU